CCUACGGGUGGCAGCAGUGGGGAAUAUUGGGCAAUGGAGGAAACUCUGACCCAGCAACGCCGCGUGAAUGAUGAAGGUCUUCGGAUUGUAAAGUCCUUUUCUAAGGGAAGAAGAAAGUGACGGUACCUUAGGAAUAAGCCUCGGCUAACUACGUGCCAGCAGCCGCGGUAAUACGUAGGCGGCAAGCGUUAUCCGGAAUGACUGGGCGUAAAGGGUGCGUAGGUGGUUCAGCAAGUUAGUAGCGUAAUUCCGGAGCUCAACUUCGGCACUACUACUAAAACUGUUGGACUUGAGUGCAGGAGGAGCAACUGGAAUGUCUAGUGUAGCGGUGGAAUGCGUAGAUAUUAGGAAGAACACCGGUGGCGAAGGCGAGUUGCUGGACUGUAACUGACGCUGAGGCACGAAAGCGUGGGGAGCAAACAGGAUUAGAUACCCUUGUAGUC
rnacentral:rRNA from 1 species